rnacentral:rRNA from 1 species
UACGUAGGGGGCAAGCGUUGUCCGGAUUCAUUGGGCGUAAAGAGCGCGUAGGCGGCCAGGUAGGUCGGUUGUGAAAACUGGAGGCUCAACCUUCAGAGGUCGAUCGAAACCAUCUGGCUAGAGUCCGGGAGAGGAGAGUGGAAUUCCUGGUGUAGCGGUGAAAUGCGCAGAUAUCAGGAAGAACACCCGUGGCGAAAGCGGCUCUCUGGAACGGUACUGACGCUGAGGCGCGAAAGCGUGGGGAGCGAACAGG